GCUUAGUAGCGGCGAGUGAGCGGCAAAAGCUCAAAUUUGAAAUCUGGCACCUUCGGUGUCCGAGUUGUAAUUUGAAGAUUGUAACCUUGGGGUUGGCUCUUGUCUAUGUUUCUUGGAACAGGACGUCACAGAGGGUGAGAAUCCCGUGCGAUGAGAUGCCCAAUCCUAUGUAAGGUGCUUUCGAAGAGUCGAGUUGUUUGGGAAUGCAGCUCUAAGUGGGUGGUAAAUUCCAUCUAAAGCUAAAUAUUGGCGAGAGACCGAUAGCGAACAAGUACAGUGAUGGAAAGAUGAAAAGAACUUUGAAAAGAGAGUGAAAAAGUACGUGAAAUUGUUGAAAGGGAAGGGUUUGAGAUCAGACUCGAUAUUUUGUGAGCCUUGCCUUCGUGGCGGGGUGACCCGCAGCUUAUCGGGCCAGCAUCGGUUUGGGCGGUAGGAUAAUGGCGUAGGAAUGUGACUUUGC
rnacentral:rRNA from 1 species